GACGCGAUGGCCGAGCGGUCUAAGGCGCUGACGUCAGGUGCCAGUCCGAAAGGGCGCAGGUUCAAAUCCUGCUAGCGUUA